rnacentral:rRNA from 1 species
UAGGGAAUAUUGGGCAAUGGAGGGAACUCUGACCCAGCCAUGCCGCGUGCAGGAUGAAGGCGUUAUGCGUUGUAAACUGCUUUUAUAUAGGAAGAAAUAGUCCUUGCGAGGAAAGUUGACGGUACUAUAUGAAUAAGCACCGGCUAACUCCGUGCCAGCAGCCGCGGUAAUUCGGAGGGUGCAAGCGUUGUCCGGAUUUAUUGGGUUUAAAGGGUGCGUAGGCGGUUUAUUAAGUCAGUGGUGAAAGACGGUCGCUCAACGAUUGCAGUGCCAUUGAUACUGGUAGACUUGAGUAUGAUUGAGGUAGCUGGAAUGGAUAGUGUAGCGGUGAAAUGCAUAGAUAUUAUCCAGAACACCAAUUGCGUAGGCAAGUUACUAAGUCAUAACUGACGCUGAGGCACGAAAGUGUGGGUAUCAAACAGGAUUAGAUACCCGAGUAGUCCCUGAGCGGGCUGGCAAGGCGCAU